GAGAGUGGGUAGUCCGCACGAGCGCACCUCACUUUUAGUUGCCAUCAUUAAGUUGGGCACUCUGAAAGAACUGCCAGUGAUAAGCUGGAGGAAGGUGGGGAUGACGUCAAGUCCUCAUGGCCCUUACGUGUUGGGCUACACACGUGCUACAAUGGUAUCUACAACAGGAAGCAAAACGGCAACGUUAAGCAAAUCCCGAAAAGAUACCUCAGUUCGGAUUGCACUCUGCAACUCGAGUGCAUGAAGCUGGAAUUACUAGUAAUCGUGGAUCAGCGUGCCACGGUGAAUGCGUUCCCGGGUCUUGUACACACCGCCCGUCACACCAUGGGAGUUGGUUCUACCUUAAGGCAAGGUUUUAAACCCUUGACCACGGUAUAGUCAGCGACUGGGGUGAAGUCGUAACAAGGUAGCCGUAGGGGAACCUGCGGCUGGAUUACCUCCUUUCU
rnacentral:rRNA from 1 species